rnacentral:lncRNA from 1 species
UCGCUGACAUUUGUGAGAUGGGAUCGACGGGGAAGUUCCCCCAUAGAGCCAGAGCACCUCAUUGCCGACGGAGGCUUGGUCUAAAAUGGUCACAACGGUCAGGCUGGUUAUAAUGAUCACAGCGGUCAGGCUGGUUAUAAUGAUCACAGUAGUUAGGCUGGUUAUAAUGAUCACAGCGGUCAGGCUGGUUAUGAUGAUCGCAGCGGUCAGGCUGGUUAUGAUGAUCGCAGCGGUCAGGCUGGUUAUAAUGAUCACAGCGGUCAGGCUGGUUAUAAUGAUCACAGCGGUCAGGCUGAUUAUAAUGAACGCAGCGGUCAGGCUGGUUAUGAUGAUCGCAGCAGUCAGGCUGGUUAUGAUGAUCACAGCGGUCAGGCUGGUUAUAAUGAAUGCAGCGGUCAGGCUGGUUAUAAUGAUCACAGCGGUCAGGCUGGUUAUAAUGAAUGCAGCGGUCAGGCUGGUUAUAAUGAUCACAGCGGUCAGGCUGGUUAUAAUGAAUGCAGCGGUCAGGCUGGUUAUGAUGAUCACAGCGGUCAGGCUGGUUAUGAUCACAGUGGUCAGGCUGGUUAUAAUGAUCACAGCGGUCAGGCUGGUUAUGAUGAUCACAGUGGUCAGGCUGGUUAUGAUGAUCACAGCGGUCAGGCUGGUUAUAAUGAUCACAGCGGUCAGGCUGGUUAUGAUGAUCACAGUGGUCAGGCUGGUUAUGAUGAUCACAGCGGUCAGGCUGGUUAUAAUGAUCACAGCGGUCAGGCUUGUUAGGUGUGCUUUAGGUAGUUUUUUAGGG